UACGUAGGGGGCAAGCGUUGUCCGGAAUUAUUGGGCGUAAAGAGCGUGUAGGCGGUGUGUCAAGUCAGGCGUGAAAGCCCCGGGCUCAACCUGGGAACCGCGCUUGAGACUGGCACGCUCGAGUUCGGGAGAGGAUGGUGGAAUUCCCAGUGUAGAGGUGAAAUUCGUAGAUAUUGGGAAGAACACCGAUGGCGAAGGCAGCCAUCUGGACCGACACUGACGCUGAGGCGCGAAAGCGUGGGGAGCAAACAGG
rnacentral:rRNA from 1 species